UUAAUUUAUCUAAAGUGAUUCUUUUCGCUUGAAAAUUGUUGAGAGAAAGACUAUAUACUCUAUACUUAACUUAGAAGAAAAGUAAUUGUAGAGGCGGAAGCAUAAAAAUGUGCUUUUUGUUUGGGUCAUUUGGAGUUAGAGGUUCACUUGGUUUCUAUGUAUGAUUUUUCGAUAGUAAUUUGGUAUGAGAUUUUUGGUGGUUUGAACUAUACUUUUGUAGUGUUUUGGGUGAGUUGUCUUACUUAUUUUUUAUAUUUGUAUCUUUAGUAGAUAAUGAAAAAAAGGUAUGAUAUACUGCUGUUUGAG
rnacentral:lncRNA from 1 species